AGCGAACGCUGGCGGCAGGCCUAACACAUGCAAGUCGAACGAAGUCUUCGGACUUAGUGGCGGACGGGUGAGUAACACGUGGGAACGUGCCUUUAGGUUCGGAAUAACUCAGGGAAGCUUGUGCUAAUACCGGAUGUGCCCUUCGGGGGAAAGAUUUAUCGCCUUUAGAGCGGCCCGCGUCUGAUUAGCUAGUUGGUGAGGUAAAGGCUCACCAAGGCGACGAUCAGUAGCUGGUCUGAGAGGAUGAUCAGCCACAUUGGGACUGAGACACGGCCCAAACUCCUACGGGAGGCAGCAGUGGGGAAUCUUGCGCAAUGGGCGAAAGCCUGGCGCAGCCAUGCCGCGUGAAUGAUGAAGGUCUUAGGAUUGUAAAAUUCUUUCACCGGGGACGAUAAUGACGGUACCCGGAGAAGAAGCCCCGGCUAACUUCGUGCCAGCCGCCGCGGUAA
rnacentral:rRNA from 1 species